CUCAAUUAUGAAUCAUUUUUCUAGUACUCAAAGGCAGUUCCUAAGCUUUACCAUGGGCAAGGUGGCCCCACAAGACAGAUUCCUCAGUCCCAAAGCCAAGAAAUGGUGCCUGUGCUGAAACUUCUCAAUAGAAAUAUCACGGUGGGAGAAGAAGAGGCAUAUGGCUGGCUGCUGGUGCUCUACUGCAACAUCCACUGAAUUUCAUCUGACUCACUUGGACAGAAAGUCGUUAUCUUAUAUCAUUUUUAUUUUUUGUGGUACAUGCAGAACCCUCACAGACUCAUAAAGUGAUACUCAUAAAUGCUUACUUACCCAUCUUCCAAAGAGAUGCUAAUGAGCCAUAAGAUGAACUGCAAGAGGAGAUUAAAAGUACUUGGAUCAUGUACAAAUGUAUCCUAGGAUCACAAGAUUUUGAAGUGGAACUAGAAGAGAUCUUAGAGAUCAGCUGAUCCUACUUCCCUUUUUUACAAAGGAAGAAACUAAGAUUUCACUUGGGCAACACACUCAAGAUCACUCCAGUAAUAAGCAGAAGAGGAGAAUUUGAAUCCUUUCAUAUCUUACUGCAAAUCUAAAAAAAAUCAAGAUGACCAUAGGAUUGUUGCUUGUAGCCGCUAAUGAUAAUCACAAUAAAAAUAACUAGCUUCUA